rnacentral:rRNA from 1 species
UGCCAGCCGCCGCGGUAAUACGUGUGGGGCAAGCGUUGUUCGGAAUUACUGGGCUUAAAGGGUUCGUAGGCGGCCACUUAAGUCAGGGGUGAAAUCCCACGGCUCAACCGUGGAACGGCCUCUGAUACUGAGUGGCUUGAGUGUGCUAGGGGUAAGCGGAACGUGUAGUGUAGCGGUGAAAUGCGUAGAUAUUACACGGAAGGCCGGAGGCGAAGGCGGCUUACUGGGGCACAACUGACGCUGGGGAACGAAAGCGUGGGGAGCAAACAGGAUUAGAUA